AUACGUAGGGGGCGAGCGUUGUCCGGAAUGAUUGGGCGUAAAGGGCGCGUAGGCGGCCUGUUAAGUCUGGAGUGAAAGUCCUGUUUUCAAGAUGGGAAUUGCUUUGGAUACUGAUGGGCUUGAGUGCAGGAGAGGUUAUCGGAAUUCCCGGUGUAGCGGUGAAAUGCGUAGAGAUCGGGAGGAACACCAGUGGCGAAGGCGGGUAACUGGACUGCAACUGACGCUGAGGCGCGAAAGUGUGGGGAGCAAACAGGAUUUGAUACCCUGGUAGUCCACACUGUAAACGAUGAAUGCUAGGUGUAAGAGGUAUCGACCCCUUUUGUGCCGGAGUUAACACAAUAAGCAUUCCGCCUGGGGAGUACGGCCGCAAGGUUGAAACUCAAAUGAAUUGACGGGG
rnacentral:rRNA from 1 species